rnacentral:rRNA from 1 species
AUUGAACGCUGGCGGCAUGCCUUACACAUGCAAGUCGAACGGUAACGGGCCCUCGGGUGCCGACGAGUGGCGAACGGGUGAGUAAUACACCGGAACGUGCCCGACCGUGGGGGAUAACGAGGCGAAAGCUUAGCUAAUACCGCAUACGAUCUACGGAUGAAAGCAGGGGACCGCAAGGCCUUGCGCGGACGGAGCGGCCGGUGGCCGAUUAGGUAGUUGGUGGGAUAAAAGCUUACCAAGCCGACGAUCUGUAGCUGGUCUGAGAGGAUGAUCAGCCACACUGGGACUGAGACACGGCCCAGACUCCUACGGGAGGCAGCAGUGGGGAAUUUUGGACAAUGGGCGCAAGCCUGAUCCAGCCAUGCCGCGUGCAGGAUGAAGGCCUUCGGGUUGUAAACUGCUUUUGUACGGAACGAAAAGCCUUCUUUUAAUACAGGAGGGUCAUGACGGUACCGUAAGAAUAAGCACCGGCUAACUACGUG